UCGUAGGCAGUUAACGGAUCGUUUUAUC
rnacentral:misc_RNA from 1 species